UGGGGAAUCUUGGACAAUGGGCGCAAGCCUGAUCCAGCCAUGCCGCGUGGAUGAUGAAGGCCUUAGGGUUGUAAAAUCCUUUUCGCCGAGGACGAUAAUGACGGUACUCGGAGAAGAAGCUCCGGCUAACUUCGUGCCAGCAGCCGCGGUAAUACGAAGGGGGCUAGCGUUGUUCGGAUUUACUGGGCGUAAAGCGCGUGUAGGCGGGUCGUUAAGUUGGGGGUGAAAUCCCGAGGCUCAACCUCGGAACUGCCUUCAAAACUGGCGACCUGGACCUAAGUAGAGGCAAGUGGAAUUGCGAGUGUAGAGGUGAAAUUCGUAGAUAUUCGCAGGAACACCAGUGGCGAAGGCGACUUGCUGGACUUAUGGUGACGCUGAGACGCGAAAGCGUGGGGAGCAAACAGGAUUAGAUACCCACGUAGUCCCUGAGCGGGCUGGCAAGGCGCAU
rnacentral:rRNA from 1 species